GCUCCCACCCCCGCUAUCCCAGCACCUCUGCCCGCGUCGUGCCGCAGGUCCCACCAGGCACACACCGACACACAGCAGCUGGGAGGGAGCAAACCAAAGGAUAAUGCAAGGCAGCAAGCGGAGCAGGAGAGCCCGGAGCCGGCAGCGGAUGAGCUUGGGCGACAGCACCCAAUUAUUGCAGCUCAGCGGGAGGAAGAGGGAAAGAAAGGAAGAAAAGAAAGCGCAAUUAUCGGGACCUCGUCUGCGGCACGGCACAGGGCUGCAAUUUCCAAGCAGACUCGCUUUGCCUGGCCCCACUCUUGCUCCCAACACCCAGGGCAUGACAGCUCGCAUUUAUUUUUAAACAGCCCAUUGCCUAUCUCUGCUCCCCGUCCUUCAUCCUUGCCCCACUGGGACCGGCUCCUGCAUCCCACCGACGCUCCCCGAGCACCCCUGCCGCCGGCCCAGCGCCAGCCCUCGCUGCCACCAGCUCAGCGCCAGCCCUCGCUGCCACCAACGCGCCACCCGGACGCCCCUCCUGGGAGGCUGUGGUGCUUCUUUAUCCUCCCUCCCCCAUCUCACUCGCUCCCACCUUUUCCUCCAAGAGCUGCUCCCGGCUCCAAAAUCUCAGCCUUGUAUAUUAAAAAAGGUCAGAUUUCAGCUCUUGUGAAGUAGCAAAAACCAGAGCAGCGUGAACGGACACAGCCGCCUGUUUCUUGGGGGCUCGGGGAGCCGGAGCUGGGACACGGGGGUCCUGGUGCUGGAACCUGCUGGAACAGCCGCCACCGUUUGUGCCGAUUCCACAUCACCACUUUGUAAUUGACAAUCAAAUUUAAUUACACCUUUGAGAAAUA